AACGUAGGUACCGAGCGUUAUCCGGAUUUACUGGGCGUAAAGCGCGUUCAGGCGGUUUGGCAAGUCGGGCAUGAAAUCUCUCGGCUCAACCGGGAGAGGUUGUCCGAUACUGCUGGACUUGAGGGCAGUAGAGGGUGGUGGAAUUCCGGGUGUAGUGGUGAAAUUCGUAGAUAUUCGGAGGAACACCAGUGGCGAAGGCGGCUCACUGGUCCAUUACUGACGCUGAGGUGCGAAAGCGUGGGGAGCAAACAGG
rnacentral:rRNA from 1 species